rnacentral:rRNA from 1 species
GAUGAACGCUGGCGGCGUGCCUAAUACAUGCAAGUCGAGCGAAGCGGGGACGGGGGAGUAACACGUGGAUAACCUCCUAUAAGACUGGGAUAAAUUCGGGAAACAGGAGCUAAACCGGAUGCUUAUGGAUGCAUCGGGGCUGCAGUAGCUAGUUGGUAAGGUAACGGCUUACCAAGUCAACGAAGCAUGGCCGACCUGAGAGGGGUAUCGGCCAACCCGGAACGGAGACACGGUCCAGACUCAUACGGGAGGCAGCAGUAGGGAAGCUGCCGCAAUGGGCGAAAGCCUGACGGAGCAAAGCCGCGUGAGUGAUGAAGGUCUUCGGAUCGUAAACCUCUGUUAUUAGGGAAGCGGUACCUAAUCAGAAAGCCACGGCUAACUACGUGCCAACAGCCGCGGUAAUAC